rnacentral:rRNA from 1 species
UACAGAGGGUGCGAGCGUUGUCCGGAAUCACUGGGCGUAAAGGGCGCGUAGGUGGCUUGGGAAGCGUGUGGUGAAAGCCCGGGGCUCAACCCCGGGUCGGCCAUGCGAACUGCCAGGCUGGAGCACGGUAGAGGCCAAUGGAAUUCCGGGUGUAGCGGUGGAAUGCGUAGAGAUCCGGAAGAACACCGGUGGCGAAGGCGGUUGGCUGGGCCGUGGCUGACACUGAGGCGCGACAGCGUGGGGAGCAAACAGG